UCUAUGGAGCAGUGUGGGAGCGCUGCCGCUCUUCUGGAGUCGGUCAGGGAGCAGGAGGCGCAGUUUGAGCAGCUGACCCGGGCGCUGGAGGAGGAGCGGAGGUGGGCGGGCCUCUCCGGCGGGGGACACGCUCCCUCUCACACGCAGAACGGCUGUCUGGGGGAUGCAGACAUAGAACGACUGAAGCUGACUGACGGAUACAUUAACGGAACACAGUACAGAAUGGUGGACCCCGCCCACGGCGCGCUGGAUGAGAGCUACACUCCAGAGGAUGAUUUACAGGAAGCGCACUCCGUCUUUUCCGACGAAGGGUCGGCGCUGCGGCGGCCAGAAAACGGGCACCCCCAGAUGAUGAUGAAGAAGCCCAUGGUGGCCCGCUCGGUCCACCCCUCGGAGGGUCUGACGGUGGACGGCGGCAUGAUGGCGCCCGGCAUGGGCAGCUACACCGCCACGCUGGACCGCUACCGGCAGGCCGCCCCCGCCGACUACCCCACCGCCACCGUGCCCCGCAACUACCACUACGGCCCCCCCGCCGGCUACGAUGACUACCGGCCCGGCCCCCCGUCGGAGGCCUACUCCAGCAUGAGCAGGGGCACGCGCAUGGACGAGCGCUACCGGCCCAUGGACGGCUACAGGACCCUGGACUCUGGGUACCGGGCCCCCAGCCGCCAGCAGAUGGACCCCUACGGCGCCCAGCCCCAGGUGGCCCGCGGCGUGCGGGGCAUGGGCUCGGCCAUGGACAUGCGCUACGGGCAGUACGGGCCCGAGGACGACCAGCGCAGCCUGGGCUACGACGACCUGCACUACGACAUGGGGCCGCCCCCAAUGCAUCCGGGGGGCUACGGCACCAUGCCCCGCCUGGGGGGCCACGGGCCGGCAGGCAUGGACCGGCGCCGGCUCAGGAGCUGCGAGGACACUUUAGACGGAGACAUGGGCGGGGUGGACCCCUACGUCUGGGGGGUCCCCGGGACCAUGGAGAGGGGGAGCAUGGCCUCAUUGGACAGCACACUGAGGAAGGGCCCGCCCCCUUCCUGGAGACAGCCGGAGCUUCCCGAGGUGAUCGCCAUGUUGAACUACCGCCUGGACCCCGUCAAGACCAACGCCGCCGCCUACCUGCAGCACCUCACCUUUAAGAACGACAAGGUCAAGUCGGACGUUCGGCGGCUGAAGGGCAUCCCGGCGCUGGUGUCCAUGCUGGACCACCCCAAGAAGGAGGUGCACCACUCGGCGUGCGGCGCGCUCAAGAACAUCUCGUUCGGCCGCGACGCCGACAACAAGAUUGCCAUCAAGAACUGCGACGGCGUGACGGGCCUGGUGCGGCUGCUGAGGAAGACCCACGAGCAGGACCUCACCGACACCAUCACAGGCACCCUGUGGAACCUGUCGUCCCACGACGUGGUGAAGAUGGAGAUCGUGGACCACGCGCUGCACGCCCUCUCCGACGAGGUGAUGGUGCCGCGCUCGGGCUGGGAGCGGAGCAGCGACGCCGGGGAGGAGAACUGCAAGCCGCGCCACCUGGAGUGGGAGACGGCGCUCACCAACACGGCCGGCUGCCUCAGGAACGUGAGUUCGGAGCGCAGCGAGGCCCGGAGGAAGCUACGCGAGUGCACCGGCCUCGUGGACUCCCUCAUGUACAUCGUCCAGUCGCAGAUCAACCGCAAAGACGUGGACAACAAGUUGGUGGAGAACAGCGUGUGUCUGCUGAGGAAUCUGUCCUAUCACGUCCACCGCGAGAUCCCCGGCUGCGAGCGCUUCUCCGAGUCCGUGCCCCUGAACCAGGGCCCCGCCCCCGGCUCCCAGAAGGGCAGCUGCUUCAGCUCCAAGAAGGGCAAAGAUGAGUGGUUUUCCAAAGGAAAGAAGGACGACGACGACGACGGAAGCGGAGACCAAGUCGACAUCCCCAAGAGAACGACAGCCGCCAAAGGCUACGAGCUGCUGUACCAGCCAGAGGUGGUGCGGCUGUACACCUCCCUGCUGCGAGAGAGCAAGAACGCAUCGGUGCUGGAGGCGGCCGCCGGAGCCAUCCAGAACCUGUGUGCCGGCCGUUGGACGUACGGCCGUUACAUCCGGGCCACGGUGCGCCUGGAGAAGGGUCUGCCCAUGAUGGCGGAGCUGCUGGCCCACGGCAACGACCGCGUGGUGCGCGCCAUGUCCGGGGCGCUCAGGAACCUCGCCAUCGACAACCGCAACAAAGAGCUGCUGGGGAAGCACGCGGUGCCCCACCUAGUGGCGGACCUGCCGGGCGGCCCUGCCCAGUCGGCCCGGCCCCUGUCGGAGGAGACGGUGGUGUCGGUGCUCAGCACGCUGGCCGAGGUGCUGGGGGGGGGCAGCCUGGAGGCAGCCAAGACGCUGCGCACCUCGCAGGGCAUCGAGCGGCUGGUGCUCAUCAGCAAGGACGGUAAGCGCUCUGAGCGGGAGGUGCGUGCGGCUGGCCAGGUGCUGCAGCUGGUCUGGGGCCACAAGGAGCUGCGCCGGCCCCUGGAGAAGGAUGGCUGGAAGAAGGCCGACUUCGCCGUCAACCUCAGCGGCGUCAACGGCAGCACCAACGGGGGCCGCGCCAACGGUAGCUACGACGACGGGACCCUGCCGCUGCUGGACAGAGGGGAGAAGAGGGACAUGAUCCCCCUGAACGACCUGGGACCCGAAGGCUACACCACACUGGAGCAGAAGGAGAGGAGACACACUCUAGAACACACCACAGACACUUUACCGCGAGGGGUGUAUGGGCCCAGAAAGGGCUCCCUUCCCCUCCUGGACUCCUACGAUGGUUAGCCACCACCCCAUCCCUCCUCCCUCUCCCCUCCUCUGCAUGUCACAGCAUGAAAAACUGAUUGUGUGCAUCACUCAGAACGGGCCUUCCCUGCCUUACCACUGCUACUGAUGAGCAACGACCAGAGACGGACAGACACACACACACACGCAUACACACAGACACGAACAGAAACACACAAAGACUCUCUCUCUCCCAGUCUGUCGCUUGCUCUCUCUACACUCUCGGCUCCCCCCCCCCUCUCCUUUUUGUACCCUGUUGCUCGCUGAUCGCUUCAAGUGGAUAUAAAAAGGAGGAUCCAAAGAAAACGGUUGUGUUGCAGUCGACCGAUCGACCGAGACCACACAAUCGUUUGAUGAUUUUUUUUUUCAUUUUCCUUUUUUUUUUACAAAUUCAUUGUAGCGUCAGAUGUAUUGUCUUAAAUUAUAUUUCUUAGCUCUAAAAACUCUAAAGGCAAUCAAUGUAUGUCGACAAUCAUCUUUUUUUCCCAGUCAUUUUUAUUUUUUGUAUCCUGUUGCUGCCAAGUCCUGCAUCCAAAAUAAAUAUGUUUGUAGAAAUCUCUUUUAGGGUAUUUACUGUACAUAACAAUAGUGACAUGGGACGACUGCAUUUCUCCUUUUCUAUAUAUAUAUAAAUAUAAAACUGGUAUAUAUUUUAAAGUUGAGCUUAAUUUAAAUGGUCCAGUAUGAUGGGACCAGUGAGAUGGAACCAGUAAGGGGACGCCAGGAGAAGCUGCUGGGAAUCCGGGACACAGAAACCGGGCGGCUUUCGACUCCGCGUUUGACGUUUGUACAGAAGUUAUUCCGUCUGAAGAUAUUUUCUCUGGUCGCAAACGCGCUCGGAUGCAGGCCAACAGGAAGGAGUGUGUAUAUAUUUGAUACGGUCAACCUGUGGGCAGGUGUGUUUAUGUGUGCGUGUGAGAGUGUAAGAAUACGGACCGUGGAAUGUGUGUGUGCACGCGGUAAGGGAUCAUGCGUCUAGGACUGGCCCAAUAAUGCUGUGCGUUUAUUUAAUGUUAUUUUUCUUCUUUUGUUUCCCUGACCUUAUGUCAUGGUGAAAACAAAAGCAAACCUUCCAAUGUUCAUUUUCUGUUAGUUCAAAUGUACUAACUGGCUCUUUUUGUUUUGACUUGUGACUUUAUUUCCUAAACCUUUCCCUCAAUUAAAGUGAUGGUUCAGCCGCUGGAUCGAUCGGUCAUCUGGACGGGUCUGUUUGUUACAAUGCAGUCAAACUCUUGGUUUGAAGCGGAGACUGAUUUCCCUGAGGAGUACAAAUACAGAAAGUAACUGAUGCGGUUGAGAGAACAGUUCUCCAUCAAACUUAAAAAUAAGACAAUGAACCACAGAGAGAAGCUGAUUCAGCACAUUAAGUUGUUCAGCUGUUCCAGAACUGGAAGGAAACGCUAACCUCAGAGUCCCAACGGUUUAUACGCUCUCUAAAAGGCUGUCAUGGUAAUUUCAUUACUCCUCGGGAUGGGGUCUGCGUCUGAGCAGUGCUGAGAGCGAGAAAGACUGUUCACCCUGCUCGAAGGAAAGCAGCGGUGGACGUUAAGGAUGGGAACUGAAAAAGCACAUUUUAGAUAUUCAUUGUGUAAUUUUUUUGACAUAUUUUCUUAUUUUGGGAGUUGGUAUGUUUGGGAGUGGUGGGUGGUGACGUUAUGCAAAUCUUUUAAUUCCAUGUUUUUUCCAUUUUGUUCAUUUUUAAGUGGUGUAUGUGACCAAUCAUCUGUUUUCUUGUGUUUUUCUACACAGUAUAUCUGUCAUAAUGCGUAUCUGUGAAACACCAUACCAUUCGUACCUGCCUUGGCUCUCUGAAAAAUACAUUUUUUUCAGUAAACUUGUAACUGGCAAUACCGUUUGUUUUGUUUUUAUAAAUAAAGAUUUUCUUAGACAAUUUAAGACUCUGA